rnacentral:rRNA from 1 species
UACGUAGGGACCAAGCGUUGUUCGGAUUUACUGGGCGUAAAGGGCGCGUAGGCGGCAAAUCAAGUCAUCUGUGAAAUCUCCGGGCUUAACUCGGAACGGUCAGAUGAUACUGCUUUGCUAGAGUGCGGAAGGGGCAAUCGGAAUUCUCGGUGUAGCGGUGAAAUGCGUAGAGAUGCGGAGGAACACCGAUGGCGAAGGCAGCCCCCUGGGUCGACACUGACGCUCAGGCACGAAAGCGUGGGGAGCAAACAGG